rnacentral:rRNA from 1 species
GACGAACGCUGGCGGCGUGCUUAACACAUGCAAGUCGAACGGAAAGGCCCUGCUUUUGUGGGGUGCUCGAGUGGCGAACGGGUGAGUAACACGUGAGUAACCUGCCCUUGACUUUGGGAUAACUUCAGGAAACUGGGGCUAAUACCGGAUAGGAGCUCCUGCUGCAUGGUGGGGGUUGGAAAGUUUCGGCGGUUGGGGAUGGACUCGCGGCUUAUCAGCUUGUUGGUGGGGUAGUGGCUUACCAAGGCUUUGAUGGGUAGCCGGCCUGAGAGGGUGACCGGCCACAUUGGGACUGAGAUACGGCCCAGACUCCUACGGGAGGCAGCAGUGGGGAAUAUUGCACAAUGGGCGGAAGCCUGAUGCAGCAACGCCGCGUGCGGGAUGACGGCCUUCGGGUUGUAAACCGCUUUCGCCUGUGACGAAGCGUGAGUGACGGUAAUGGGUAAAGAAGCACCGGCCAACUACGUG